UUGAUGUUAUUUUGGCUCUAUAGUGGGAAGUCUGAGUCUUUAUCCAGUUAGAAGUUCGAGGUGAUUCUCAAGUACAAGACCUUUCACAUUGUUACGGUAGAUGGUUUCAGUACCACUAUGAUUAGACAUGAAAGGAGUACCAAGUGGUCCUGAUACACUGAAUGCAAUAGAGAGAAAAAGGAGCGUGGAAAAGAAGAGAAGUCAAGAAACGAGGAGGCAAAGUUGGCAAGAAGUGAGAAAAGAAAGCACAGAUUUGCUGAAUGCAAAGAUACAAUCAAAUACACCACCUAUUGCUGCCUGAUAGUCUUAAUUGUAUAACAAACUGUGUAUUCCUUUUCAGUCUGAAAUAUUCAGCAAACCAAAAUUCAGUUUUAACUUGAAUAUGUUAUAUGAGUGAUCCGCAGCCAUGUUGCUCUCUAAGACCUUGGAUGUUGCUUCCAGUGGUAUCAAAGCAGGUGCUUAUUUUUUAAUUCCAGGCUUGGAGGGAAGUUUUUGUUGCAUAAAAACCAGGGUUAAGGCCAAAGAGAACCUCCUGUCGGCUGCCUAUUCACAUAGGGGCUACCAAAUAGGAAAUUAUUUGGCAUCCCAAGAACUUUUUUCAUGCUUGUGUUGCUCCCCAACUCUUUUUACAUUUGAAUGUGGCUCAUGGGUAUAAAAGGUUGGGGACCCCUGGUUUACAUCAUAGACAUAUUGUUUUACAUAGUGUGUUUACAUACAGUGCAAAAUAAAACAUUUAUAAUUAA